rnacentral:lncRNA from 1 species
GUGCCAAGCACCUACAUGAUCUCACUCUUCUCUCCUGCCUGGGCCCUGACCACAGAAGAGGGGGUGACGUAUCACUAGGCCCUGACCACAGGUUAUGUGAUUUUUCUGCCUGGUCCCUGUCCAGAGAGGACAUUAUGACAUUUGCCUGGGCCCAUAAACUAGAUUAUAUGACUCUCCUUUUGUCUCUGAAACUUGUCCACAGUGGAGAUUUUGACAUACCACUUUUCUCAGGAUCUACAUAAUCUGAAUUUUGUUCCAUGCCUCAGUCUUGCCCACUGGGGUGAUUGUGCCAUAUAACUAGUCUCAAUUCCUAGGUUAUGUGACUCUUCUUUAUGAGCCUUACCCACAUAGGGCAUUUUGACAUAUCUCUGGAGCCCUCUCUUAGAUGAGGUGACUGUGCUGCACGGUCCCCUUUUUUUCAGAA